CUGUAUAAUGUGAUGCGUUGGAGGAUCAUUUUGUGUUGUUUUACACACGCUUUAUGCAUUCGAAGACCAUCAUUAUUAAACCCUGUUAACGCGGAUGCCCAAUCUGUAAUUUUACGGAGCGGGUGUUUUAUUUUAAACCUUUAACAAAAUAUAAACCUAUCACAACAUAUAACACAAAACUUAUA
rnacentral:misc_RNA from 1 species